UUUUUCGAGUGGUACCUGAGAUUCAGCACUUCUAAAAAGCUCCAAGGUGAUGAAGGUGCUGCUAGUUGGAGGCCAUACUUUGAGUGGCAAGAUGCUAAAAAUUCAACAGAUGGGGUAUAUAAGCAGAUAGUGUAGCAUAUUGAAAACAACUCUCGGUUUGAAUCAGAAGCCUGGGUCUGUGAUAUUAUAAUGACACUAACUAGCUUAAUAUUUUGUGGAUUAUUGUGCAUGAAAUUAUCCAUUUAAAUAUCAUAUUUUCAAUUUAAAUUAUAGGUUUCAACUUUGCCAGGCAAAUAUAAUCAACAAUAUGUUCAAUAGUAUGCCACAGCUAAAGACACAAAUGAAAACAAUGAUCUCAGACUUUUGAUCCAGGUGCCAAGUUAAAAAAAGAAGUUAAAACAGUGUAGUUUAUUUCUGUUCAAUGUCCUGUAUAGGUGGAAACUAAUUUCAGGAUUAAUUUUUGGUUAAACAACUAGCUUGGAAAUUUAUAAUUAUUUGGGAUUGAGGACCAAACCAGGUGAGGCAUGAUAAAGAAAUUAGAAGGGGAUAGCUAUGAAAAUCAAGAUGAAUAAAAAGAAGGGAGUGUUUACGG
rnacentral:lncRNA from 1 species